GAUGAACGCUGCCAGAAUGCUUAACACAUGCAAGUCUACUUGAACUUCGGUUUGGGUGGCGGACGGGUGAGUAACGCGUAAAGAACUUGCCUCACAGAUAGGGACAACAUUUGGAAACGAAUGCUAAUACCUGAUAUUAUGAUUUUAGGGCAUCCUAGAAUUAUGAAAGCUAUAUGCACUGUGAGAGAGCUUUGCGUCCCAUUAGCUAGUUGGAGAGGUAACGGCUCACCAAGGCGAUGAUGGGUAGCCGGCCUGAGAGGGUGAUCGGCCACAAGGGGACUGAGACACGGCCCUUACUCCUAUGGGAGGCAGCAGUGGGGAAUAUUGGACAAUGGACCAAGAGUCUGAUCCAGCAAUUCUGUGUGCACGAUGAAGUUUUUCGGAAUGUAAAGUGCUUUCAGUUGGGAAGAAAAAAAUGACGGUACCAACAGAAGAAGUGACGGCUAAAUACGUG
rnacentral:rRNA from 1 species